rnacentral:sRNA from 1 species
UGAUGUAAGUGUCAAAAGUCCAAAAUGCGAUUGUGCUUGCACAAGUAAGCAUUUUAGACUUGUUGACACGCCGAACACCAAAAACGUAAUCAAAUGCUGUGAAUACAGCAUUUUAUGAAAGUUUGAGGUGUUCGAGAAUUGCGAAAAUUGCGUAGCAAUAAAAUGUACCC